rnacentral:misc_RNA from 1 species
UUUCCGUAGGUGAACCUGCGGAAGGAUCAUUAUUGUAUAACCGAGGUGCGAGGGCUGUCGCUGACACGAACGGUCGUGCCAGCCCGAGUGGCCUCCCACACAUCCAUCUCACCCCUUUGUGCUCCACCGCGUGUGUCCCCCUUUGGCCUAUUCUGAGGGGGGAAUACGUAUUCACCCAACAAUAAUGUACCGUGUGGAUUGUAUUUUUUGUUUUUACGAUCCAGAUAUCAAUACAACAUUUCACAACUGAACUCUUGGCUCUCACAUCGAUGAAGAACC